UGUCAUUAGAGGUUAUGGGCUCAGAGA
rnacentral:piRNA from 1 species